rnacentral:rRNA from 1 species
GAUGAACGCUGGCGGCGUGCCUAAUACAUGCAAGUCGAGCGAAUGGAUUAAGAGCUUGCUCUUAUGAAGUUAGCGGCGGACGGGUGAGUAACACGUGGGUAACCUGCCCAUAAGACUGGGAUAACUCCGGGAAACCGGGGCUAAUACCGGAUCACAUUUUGAACCGCAUGGUUCGAAAUUGAAUGGCGGCUUCGGCUGUCACUUAUGGAUGGACCCGCGUCGCAUUAGCUAGUUGGUGAGGUAACGGCACACCAAGGCAACGAUGCGUAUCCGACCGGGGAGGGUGAUCGGCCACACUGGGACUGAGACACGGCCCAGACUCCUACGGGAGGAAGCAGUAGGGAAUCUUCCGCAAUGGACGAAAGUCUGACGGAGCAACGCCGCGUGAGUGAUGAAGGCUUUCGGGUCGUAAAACUCUGUUGUUAGGGAAGAACAAGUGCUAGUUGAAUAAGCUGGCACCUUGACGGUACCUAACCAGAAAGCCACGGCUAACUACGUGCCAGCAGCCGCAGUAA